rnacentral:rRNA from 1 species
AGCGAAUGCUGGCGGCAGGCCUAAACAUGCAAGUCGAACGCCGUAGCAAUACGGAGUGGCAGACGGGUGAGUAACACGUGGGAACGUGCCCUUUGGUUUGGAACAACACAGGGAAACUUGUGCUAAUACCGGAUAAGCCCUUACGGGGAAGAUUUAUCGCCAAAGGAUCGGCCCGCGUCUGAUUAGCUAGUUGGUGAGGUAACGGCUCACCAAGGCUACGAUCAGUAGCUGGUCNGAGAGGAUGAUCAGCCACACUGGGACUGAGACACGGCCCAGACUCCUACGGGAGGCAGCAGUGGGGAAUCUUGCGCAAUGGGCGAAAGCCUGACGCAGCGACGCCGCGUGGG